UCAUGAAUCGUUGAAAGGUUUGGGCUGC
rnacentral:piRNA from 1 species